rnacentral:piRNA from 1 species
UAUUAGAUAGACACCUGGGCACAAACC